rnacentral:miRNA from 1 species
CUGCAGUCGGUUUCUUACUUC